AGCAGCCGCAGUAAUUCCAGCUCCAAUAGCGUAUACUAAAGUUGUUGCAGUUAAAAAGCUCGUAGUUGAAUUUCGGAAUCAGUACGCCAGUCAUGCUUCGGUAUGUACUAGUGUCACUGAUUCCUUCCUUCUGACGAACCGUCAUGCCAUUAAUUUAGUGUGAUGUGGAAUCAGGACUGUUACUUUGAAAAAUUAGAGUGUUUAAAGAAGGCUCGCGCUUGAAUACAUUAGCAUGGAAUAAUGAAAUAGGACGUUUGAUCUUAUUUUGUUGGUUUCUAGGAUCGAUGUAAUGAUUAAUAGGGAUAGUUGGGGGCAUUAGUAUUCAAUUGUCAGAGGUGAAAUUCUUGGAUUUAUUGAAGACUAACUACUGCGAAAGCAUUUGCCAAGGAUGUUUUCAUUAAUCAAGAACGAAAGUUAGAGGAUCGAAGACAAUCA
rnacentral:rRNA from 1 species